AGUAAAAACAUUUUCUCCUCAUCGAGCCGCCAUUGUGUUGUGGUUUGAGGAGAACAUUGGAUCAUCAACGAAUUGUUUACAUUUGUAAAACGUGCAUUCAGUGUCCGCGGGCUACAUUUAUCGAUUCUUUUGUGGAAAUAGCAUAUCAAAUAUCCCGAAUCCGUUAAAUUAUAGUGAAAUACUGCACAUGACACACGAUGCGUUGAAGGAAACGUAAAACCAUGUGUGGGAAGAUGAUGAAUAACUGCCCGGGCCAAUCAUUCAAGUACUGCCGCUAGGUUGAAGUGAUAAACAACAAAUGAAGCAGCGCUAGAAGAUGAAGAUGAUGAUACCCAGUUAUGCUAAGGCCAAUAUCCGCUUGAAGACUCCCAUAGUGAAAAGGAAGUGCAUACGGAUCUUGAAUACGUAGAUAGACUGCGAAUCGAAUCGAAGUCGAGCCAAAUGCUCACAUCAUGGUAGCAGAUAUGAACUGUAAUUUAGCAAUGCUCGACCUCGCGUGUCCAUUGAUGAUAGAACUUAACUAUAUUGAAGAAAACAAUUCAGGAUUACAUGUUGGACCAUCAUCGCUGUUUCUGAGGCACAAAUAUGUAUCAAACGUCUUGGAUGUAUGAAUACGUGCAUCGUGCUAUCAGGUCAAUGCUCCGCAGAAAAGACUGACUAUUCGGCUACGUGAUACGGAACAAGUCUC